CGGCAGCGUAGCCUAGUGGUUAGAGUGUAUAGGCGGCAGGGUAGCCUAGUGGUUAGAGUGUAGAGGCGGCAGGGUAGCCUAGUGGUUAGAGUGUAGAGGCGGCAGGGUAGCCUAGUGGUUAGAGUGUAGAGGAGGCAGGGUAGCCUAGUGGUUAGAGUGUAGAAGAGGCAGGGUAGCCUAGUGGUUAGAGUGUAGAGGCGGCAGGGUAGCCUAGUGGUUAGAGUGUAGAGGAGGCAGGGUAGCCUAGUGGUUAGAGUGUAGAGGAGGCAGGGUAGCCUAGUGGUUAGAGUGUAGAGGCGGCAGGGUAGCCUAGUGGUUAGAGUGUAGAGGCGGCAGGGUAGCCUAGUGGUUAGAGUGUAGAGGCGGCAGGGUAGCCUAGUGGUUAGAGUGUAGAGGCGGCAGGGUAGCCUAGUGGUUAGAGUGUAGAGGUGGCAGGGUAGCCUAGUGGUUAGAGUGUAGAGGUGGCAGGGUAGCCUAGUGGUUAGAGUGUAGAGGCGGCAGGGUAGCCUAGUGGUUAGAGUGUAGAGGGGGCAGGGUAGCCUAGUGGUUAGAGUGUAGAGGUGGCAGGGUAGCCUAGUGGUUAGAGUGUAGAGGUGGCAGGGUAGCCUAGUGGUUAGAGUGUAGAGGCGGCAGGUAGCCUAGUGGUUAGAGCGUAGAGGCGGCAGGUAGCCUAGUGGUUAGAGCGUAGAGGUGGCAGGGUAGCCUAGUGGUUAGAGUGUAGAGGUGGCAGGGUAGCCUAGUGGUUAGAGUGUAGAGGUGGCAGGGUAGCCUAGUGGUUAGAGUGUAGAGGUGGCAGGGUAGCCUAGUGGUUAGAGUGUAGAGGUGGCAGGGUAGCCUAGUGGUUAGAGUGUAGAGGUGGCAGGGUAGCCUAGUGGUUAGAGUGUAGAGGCGGCAGGGUAGCCUAGUGGUUAGAGUGUAGAGGCGGCAGGGUAGCCUAGUGGUUAGAGUGUAGAGGUGGCAGGGUAGCCUAGUGGUUAGAGUGUAGAGGCGGCAGCGUAGCCUAGUGGUUAGAGCGUUGGACUAGUAACCGGAAGGUUGCAAGUUCAAAUCCCAGAGCUGACAAGGUACAAAUCUGUCGUUCUGCCCCUGAACAGGCAGUUAACCCACUGUUCCUAGGCUGUCAUUGAAAAUAAGAAUUUGUUCUUAACUGACUUGCCUGGUAAAAUAAAAAUAU